rnacentral:rRNA from 1 species
GACGGAGGGUGCUAGCGUUGUUCGGAAUUACUGGGCGUAAAGGGCGCGUAGGCGGCCUGGUCAGUCGGAUGUGAAAGCCCGGGGCUCAACCCCGGAACGGCAUCCGAGACGGCCAGGCUGGAGACCGGGAGAGGAGAGUGGAAUAGCCAGUGUAGAGGUGAAAUUCGUAGAUAUUGGCUGGAACACCAGUGGCGAAGGCGGCUCACUGGCCCGAUACUGACGCUGAGGCACGAAAGCGUGGGGAGCAAACAGG